UAUUGAGAACAAACAUUUAGUGAGUGUUCUUUACAUUUCAGAUUUCCAAAGAUGAACUGUGUCAGGCUGGUGACAUGGAUGCAUGUGGAUUCUGUUCAACCAACCCUCCUGAGGUAUUUUUGGUCUCCAAUGACCAACUUAUUCUCUAAAUUAAAGUAAUUGAAAUGAUAUUACGUAGAGUACAAACACAUAGGUGUUGUGUAGUACUAGAUUUGUUGGCUGCAUAAAAAGGGAGGACUGAGUUUUGAAAUUACAAGUAUAGAAGAAUGAAAAUUACAUUUAGAAGCGCACAUACACACAGGUCCUGUGUAAUACUCAAAAUGUAAGGUGCAGGAAUAAGGAGGACUGAGUUUUGAAAUUACUAGUACAGAAGAAUGAAAGGUACAUUGAGAAGCAUGCAUACAAAAAGGUCUUGUGUAAUGCUCAUCAGGUAUGUUGCAGAAAUUUCAAAAACUGAGUUUUGAAAUUACAGGUAGAAAAGAAUGAAAAUUACUUUUAGAAGCGCACAUACACACAAGUCCUGUGUAAUACUCAAAAUGUAAGGUGCAGGAAUAGGGAGGACUGAGUAUUGAAAUUACAAGUACAG